rnacentral:lncRNA from 7 species
UCUAAAAUAUCAAGGCCCUGUUGCGUUGCGGCCCAUCAUACAUGAAUACAUGAUCGGAUCCAUGGUCCUUGUACAUGCAUGCAUGCAUGGUCCAGGGCGACGUGCGCGCGCGUGCUACUCCACUGGUAAUACAUGUACGUCUGCGCGUGGCGAAUGGCAGUAGCAGCAGGCCCGUCACGAGUCGGCGCGAAAUCGGAUCGCCGUGCACCCAUCAGGCGGUCGGACGGUGCGACACUGCGACUGCGACGGGCCGGCCGGCUGGUCGAGCGAGAUCUGCCGUGCGAUUACUACAAUACUACUGGAGGGGACUCCUCUACCCCGAGGACCGCCGGAGCGAGCGAUGGAGGGAGGCCCGCCGAA